rnacentral:tRNA from 1 species
UGGGCGGUAGUUUAGUGGCUAUAACGCAGGACUCAUAAUCCUGAGGUCAGAGGUUCGAGUCCUCUCCGCCCGA